rnacentral:rRNA from 1 species
GCUUCUUUCCUCCCGAGUGCUUGCACUCAAUUGGAAAGAGGAGUGGCGGACGGGUGAGUAACACGUGGGUAACCUACCCAUCAGAGGGGGAUAACACUUGGAAACAGGUGCUAAUACCGCAUAACAGUUUAUGCCGCAUGGCAUAAGAGUGAAAGGCGCUUUCGGGUGUCGCUGAUGGAUGGGCCCGCGGUGCAUUAGCUAGUUGGUGAGGUAACGGCUCACCAAGGCCACGAUGCAUAGCCGACCUGAGAGGGUGAUCGGCCACACUGGGACUGAGACACGGCCCAGACUCCUACGGGAGGCAGCAGUAGGGAAUCUUCGGCAAUGGACGAAAGUCUGACCGAGCAACGCCGCGUGAGUGAAGAAGGUUUUCGGAUCGUAAAACUCUGUUGUUAGAGAAGAACAAGGACGUUAGUAACUGAACGUCCCCUGACGGUAUCUAACCAGAAAGCCACGGCUAACUACGUGCCAGCAGCCGCGGUAAUACGUAGGUGGCAAGCGUUGUCCGGAUUUAUUGGGCGUAAAGCGAGCGCAGGCGGUUUCUUAAGUCUGAUGUGAAAGCCCCCGGCUCAACCGGGGAGGGUCAUUGGAAACUGGGAGACUUGAGUGCAGAAGAGGAGAGUGGAAUUCCAUGUGUAGCGGUGAAAUGCGUAGAUAUAUGGAGGAACACCAGUGGCG